rnacentral:lncRNA from 1 species
AUGAGACUGCCUUCCCCAGGAAACACACUCUUCUUAGCAUACCGAUCAGAACGUUUUCCUCUUUGUCUUCAAUAGAUCAAUAAUAUUGAGGCCGCUAAAGUAUAUGUCCAACAGAGGACUCCAUUUCAGAAUUCAGACAAUGGGGAGUCAGUGAAGGAUUGUGCCCUGGGGAACGAACAGAGCCAUGGUACAGGGUGAUUAAUCUGGAAGAUGUCUGCAGACUGGAUUAGAAUGUGGAGAGAUUGGAG